CCUUUCUUGGACAUUCUACAGCUGUACCACCUGCUGUUAUUUCAAACAAAGGAGAGGAGUGAGCUGCGAGUGAGUGAUGAUCUUCUAGCCUUCGACUCGGUUCAGGUUAUAUAGAUGGUGGAUUUAACACUCGAAUUGUUUAUCAUCUUGAUCUUCCUGAAGUGAAAUACUGCGAAAUUGGAUGACUUUUGGAAUUGUUCAAUCCUCGGGCAAACAAGUUUCCUUCUUUGAAGGUAUAUUGCAAAUAGGAGUUUCAAUUUUAAGAAGAUCUUCGAAGAGAAAAUUUUCCUCUGUCAAGCAUCUUGGAAGUUCUAUCGAUCCUACACGUUAAUAGAGUUUCCCAUCCGUCUGAACGAGCCACGAAAUAAUCCAACGCGAACGUUCAAACGUGAAACACGGUUCUCCAUGUAGUUGGACUCCUUCUAGACCCGAGGCCCGUGCGAAACCGAAUUUUCCCCGAGAGUGCAACUUUAUUCAGUACCCGGAGACUGCAUCCAGGACUAGUCGGCGAACAAGGUAACACGUAUACGUACACAGGAAUGCACACGUAUACACGAAGAGACCAUAAUCAUCGGGAUUUAUGCGCAAGUGCCGUUUCUACGGUGAGUGCGAGACUCCGUGAAAGUUCCAUCGGCCCGUGAAAAAAUCGACAAAGAUAUUUCGAAUUCACUGGGCAAAUAGCUAUCGAGCACGAGGUAUAACGGCAUUAUCCUCUUAGCCGUGGGUUCAACGCGGUAUCGCGUUAUGCGUUAACUUUCAUUGAUGUGUGCAGGUGCGUGCAUAAAGAGAACCGCUCACUGAUUCCACGUAUCCCCUUCUUUCUCGCUCUGUCACUUCAACCCGUUCCAUCUUGUUCUGCGUUUCGUACCCGUCGCUUUCUCUUUCAUCCCCCUUUCGUACCCCUUUCAUCCCCCGCUUCGUUGCGGUCCAU